rnacentral:misc_RNA from 1 species
UGUCAAGAUGAUGCAUAAACUUGGAUAUAUGAGUAUUUUCAGCCUAUAAGGAUCAGUUGCGAAUCGAUUGGGGGUAUUAAUUAAAACGCUUCGAGUUCUGCAUAGGCAAAACAUUCCAGCUCCUUUACAGUUUUAUUUUUUUUCUUUACUUCUUUCCCUUUCUGUUAAUUCUAUCUUUCAUUUUUUCUUCAUAAAAAAACCAUAUAUAGAAUUGGAAUUAUGAAAGAAUCGAUUUUACUUCUAGCUCUUCUCUCAUUAAUCCAAUAUUCUGUUGGAGUUAGUGUCUUGACUAACUACGGUAAGGUUAAGGGAAAGCGUAUAAAGAACGCCUUACCUCGUUUAAAGGAUGCAAAGAUUGUUACGAAAACUGUAGAUAUAUUCUACGAUAUUCCCUACGCCAAGUCUCCAAUUGCGAAAUUACGAUUUAAGGUAGGCCUAGUUUAUUCUUAAUAAUACUUUAACUUUGUACAGUUGAAAGUAUUGGCAUUGGUUAGCUAUUUAAAUCAUUAAUAUAUUUGUUCUAUUUUUCAAAAAACUACAAUUGUAAUUUAUCUCUUCCCUCCCACUCUUCUGCUCCUUCUUCCCCACCAAAAAAAAAGAAUCCUGAAGAACCAAAUGUCGAGAAUAUCGAUGGAAGAAGAAGAGAGUUUAGCGAAUGUCCUCAAAUAUCGAGAAUUGACGGCAAUGAAGAUUGUUUAAAGUUGGAUAUCUAUUCACCUUUUGAGGUUUGUUCAGAGUCUUUGUAUCUCUCUCUCUCUUUCUCUUAAGUUUAUUGUUCUUGGAUCAACCAAUUAAACGUCCAUAUUAAUGAUUAUUCAAUAUAGCGAAGUAAAAAUACAACUUAUCCCGUUAUGGUUUACAUACACGGCGGAUCGUAUAAGGCCGGAAGUAAAAACAUGUACGAUGGAACGGGAUUAUCUCAGUAUGGCGUUGUUGUUGUGACAAUCAAUUACAGAUUAGGCAUAUUUGGCUUCCUUACAGACGGAACUGACAGAUUAAGAGGUAAUUACGGUCUCGCUGAUCAAAUUCAGGCACUGAAAUGGAUAAAUAGAAAUAUUCGCGCCUUCAGAGGCAAUCCAAAUCGAAUCACUUUAUUCGGAAAUAGCGCUGGAGGUUCGAGCGUUGGUUUUCUAUCACUUUCACCAAUUGCUAAAGGCCUAUUCAAUAAUGCUGUUCUUCAAAGUGGUUCGCCCACGGCCCACUGGGCCUAUCAUAAUACAACAGCAAACUUAAAACGUCAAGCCAAUUUGGCAUUUAAGAAAUCGGCUUGCGAUCGAUCAACCUUCCAAGCGUCCAUUACUUGCCUUCGGAACAUUUCUGUUAAGAGUCUUAUAAAGCUUCAAUUAAAAUUCAUACAGGAUCGGUCGACGGAUGGUGGAACCUUUUCGCUAAAUGGAGAUGAUUUUAGACCGAACGUUGAUGGUAGAAUAAUCACCGACGAUCCCCUAAAUAUGAUUAAGAAGAAGAGAUGCGGCAAUGAAUUCUACGUUGUUGGGGUAACAAAAGACGAAUUUAGCGACAUGGUGGGGAUGAACUACGCCUUGGACAAUGUUAUUACCGAUACAAGCACUAGCAUGUUUGGAAUGGGAAGAUCUAGAUUUGAAAUAUAUGUCUCACAUGUUUUUGGUUCGGGUUUCGGUUGGGACAAUUCAAUAGUAGAUAUAAUUAAGUACGCGUAUACAGAUUAUUCUUUAAGAAAAGACCCAACCAACAACAGGAAACAAUACAUAAAAAUAAUGACUGAUAUGAUGUUGGUCGCUCCGGCUGUUCGUUAUGCUGAUCUUCUCCAAAGGAGGAAAUGCAGAGUAUACUUAUAUAAUUUCGAAUUUGCUUACGACGAAAGGGGUAGUUAUCAUCAGAUCGAAUUAGAAUAUCUCUUCUCUAGGCCCUUUCGUAAAAAGAAGCGUUCUCUCGAUCAGGACGGUGAACGCUACUACAACGAAAGUGACUUUAACGUCAGUCGAUUAGUCAUGGACAUUUGGACAUCGAUUGCCAAAUCUCGUAAAAAUCUACGCUUUGAUGGAUUUGAAUGGAAACCGUUCCGUCCUGGUGCUUAUUACAUAUCAAUCAAAGAGAGCGGAGUUAAAAAUUAUCAGCAUUUAAACGCCGACAAAGUAGCGUUCUGGAACGAACUGGUACCAAGAACAUUAAGAGGGAUAGAGAAGAUAAGAGGUCAUGUCAAGAAUGAAGAUAUCAACGAUAUUCAAAUGAUUUGGUUAUGGAUAACCGGGUCACUGCUAGUAUUAUUCUUUCUAAUAACUCUAGUACUUCUUACUUUCACCAUUAGAUUAAAAUAUUCCAACGAUCAGCUAAACCGUUCACCGUAUGCAACCACAGAUGGCGUUCGUUUAUAGAUUAAAGAAAUUUAAAGAGAGAGAAAGUUGUAGACAUGUUUUUUCAUAGAUUUUUUCAAAUAAAC